rnacentral:lncRNA from 1 species
AUGUAUCACUAAACCGAUAAUUAUUUGCAAAGUCGUGCGGAAACCAUGCAAAACAUCGAGUCCACCAUUGUGGAAUUGGGUGGUAUUUUCCAGCAACUAGCUCAUAUGGUAAAAGAGCAGGAGGAAAUGGUGGAAAGAAUUGAUACAAACGUGCAGGAUGCGGAACUCAACAUUGAGGCGGCUCACUCCCAAAUUUUAAAAUAUUUCAAAUCGGUUUCCUCAAACAGGUGGCUGAUGAUCAAAGUUUUCGGUGUCCUUAUAUUUUUCUUUAUAUUCUUCAUUGUGUUUUUAGCAUAGGGAUUAAUUAAAAUUCAGUUUCGAGCCACUUUUCACAUUUGCGCUUUUCACCCGAGACGCUGUGAUAAGAGAGAUUCUUCAUAUGUACAUACUUACGCUAUUUGAAACAAAUAUACAUACAUACACUACUUGCGAA